rnacentral:rRNA from 1 species
UACGUAGGGGGCAAGCGUUGUCCGGAUUUAUUGGGCGUAAAGAGCGCGUAGGCGGUCCGGUAAGUCCGCUGUGAAAGUCGGGGGCUCAACCCUCGAAUGCCGGUGGAUACUGUCGGGCUAGAGUGCGGAAGGAGGCGAAGUGGAAGUUCCUGGGUGAUAGCGGUGAAAUUCGAUAGAUAUUCGCAAGAACACCAGUGGCGAAGGCGGCUCACUGGCCCGGUACUGACGCUGAGGUGCGAAAGCGUGGGGAGCAAACAGG